GCGAGCGGAACGCGCGGCGCGACCACAUUGGGGAGGCACAGCCGGCGAGGAGCAAGGAGGUUGCAGGCGCCGCAGCAGAGCGAGGCGCCAUUUGCAGGACGGCUGCGCCACGCCCGCGCUUCCCGGCCAAGAGCAGAGCAGCUAUGUAGGGUGGCGGGAGGCGGGAGAAGGCCGAGCCGUCCUCAACGACUAGAAUGAAGCUGAGGUUCGUCGUAGCUACAUACCUGAACAUGGAUGUGCAUGUUUCCCCAACCGAAUCAUUUUGGCAACUUUUUGUAGAUAUUUCAGAUUUGUAGCUUAUUCACAUGGUAUCUUUUCUAGCUGAUAGUUUUAACACACCCACAUUAGAUGGUAGUUUAUGUUCUUCCCCAUGGCAAAUACACAUAGUUACCCAUGUGAUAUCUUGAUGUGUGCAUAGUUUGCCCUUUGCAAAUUCAGACUAAGUGUUUAUAUAGUUUUUGCAGAAUCUUGGACAUGUGUGAUAGCGGUGGCAUGCAAUUACCUAUUCUUAAACCAUGGCAAUUUCGAAAUUAUUGGUUCAUUAAGACGAGACUUUCCUUUGAAAUUCUAUGGCCUUUUUGGGUAUGUGUUUGAACAUGCUGUAUAGUGGUGCCCCAUGGCAUUUCUUAAACGGUUUUGCUAUUUAACAGUCAAGUGUUUUUCAAUUCGUCAUCAUUCAAAUUUCUGUCCGUCCGUUGUCGCGCGGAGAUUCACGCUGGUUUUCUUUUUUUUUUCGCGCUGGCGCCUGGCGCCCUGUUUGCUCUGGUUCGUUUUCUUUACCGGGUUCGGUUUUCUUUGUUUCAACCAUAACCGCCCCGUCCCGGCACUGUUGGUUUUUUGUCCUGUUUGAAUUUUGGAGUGGGUGUCGUUCACCCUUUCAUUUGGGUCACUGUGUUUUGAUAAGGCCGAGAGAGAGGACUCGAGCGGCGGCGGAGAAGAGGCGAUUUCAUGGUGAUUCCGAGCUAUUCCAUCGUUCGAUUUGAUUUCUCCUCCCUUUUCUCUUCACUCCCCGGCUGCCGAGGUUGGUUCCCCUUGUCUCACGCGUUCCCCCCGUGUAUUUUUGCCGGUGUUGUGGUCCUGUAGUUCCAGAUCUAGGUGAGUUUCGUCGUCGUGGGUUUGUGGAUCGUCUGUUUGCUGUUGUUCAUAGAUCCGUGGUAGGUGUUGCCGUGUUGUUCUAGCCCGCCCUCCGUAGUCCGCCCAAUUUCCCGCAUCCAUUCUGCUCGCCUGAGUUACGUAUGAGCUUGUAGUUGCGGCUUCUAGGUCAUUGUGGUCUUUUUUCUCCCCUGAUUUUAGGUGUGUUAGGCUUUAGAUUUGUUUAUUUCGUGCUGUAGAUGCUGGAGGUUCGCGUACUGGUAGUUGCAGCAGAUCAACUUGCAACCUGGUACUAGUACACAGGGUGAUUUCCUUGUUAAAUUUUCUACUAGCAUGUGGUGUCUGUUCCCUUUGCUGUUUGAUGAUAGUUGUAGGUGGCUGGUCAUGAUUUCCCCUGGUAGCUGUGUUUCCCAGGAAUUUAUCUGAAUUUGAUGCUUCUACUAUUGUGUUUUUACCCACAGAAUUGUAGUGUACCUCCGAAUUUCAGUGUAUGUUGUAGAACCACACUGUAGUUUUCCCUACACUUACACUGUCUAGCUUUUCUGUUUGUAAUGGCUAGAGGUAUGCAUACUGGUUGUUGCAGAGGUUGAUUUCCCUGUAUUUUUCUGCUAGUUUCCUUUUCCGUUAGAUGAUAGUUGGAGAUUAUUCGAUGUAGUUUUUGUAGUUGUAGGUGGCUGCUCAUGAUUUUCCCUGGUAGCCGAGGUGUGUCUGAAUGUGUUCCAGGAAUCUCUCUGAAUUUGAUGCUUGUAUUACAGUGUUUGCACUGAAAUUUCCAGCCGAUGUUCAGUUUCCUUAAACUAUUUAUCAGUGUAUUUACAGUCUAAUAUUAGUGUACUUUCUUUGUUACUUGCACUGUAAUAUCAGUGUACUAACUAUGCAAUUACAAUGUAAUAUCAGUGUACUUACACUAUAAAUCCCAGUGUAGUUUCAGUAAAUUUACUUUGCAAUCCUAUUUGUUUUCAGCAUUUGGUUAGUUAGUCAUGCAAGUGGAUCUCUUUGGAUUGUAACUCAAAUUUACAUUGAUCUUACCCCCCCAUAUUUUUAGUGUAACUGCUGUAUAAUCUGUUUGCAGAAUCUCACUGUUCCUGAUUUUACAGUGUAAUACUCCCAUUUUUACAGUGUAAUUCUCCCAUAGUUGUUGUAAUUACUAUAUAAUAUGUUCUAGUAGUACGACUGUGUAAUUUACAGUGUAAUACUCCGAUAUUACAGUGUAAUUCUCAUGCUUUUACAAUUCUCCCAUGUUUGUAAUUACUGUCUAAUUUACAGUGUAAUACUUCCAAAUACUCCCAGAAUUACAAUAUAACUUUCCUCCCAGAAUUACUGUGUAAUUUAUCAUCCAGUUACAGUGUAAUUUGUCCUAGCAGUACUGUGUAAUUUCCACCCUAAUUCGAGUGUAAUUCCUGAUUACAGUGUAUAUCCCGAGUCACAAAUUCCAGUGUAAUUUCUGAUUACAGUGUAUAUCCUGAGAUACAGUGAUGUUUCGGUAGUUUAUUCUAUUGAGAGUGCUGAUUCUUUAAAUGAUCCUUUUCUGACUAAUGACUUUGCGGAACAUGGUACUAAUGCUAUGUCUUUGGUAGUUAUUUCUGUCUUGUUCUCUACUUUCAUUCUCUUUUUUAUUCUCUCUUUCAAUUUAUUAGUUUUUCUGUUUGUUGACUGAAUUAUUUUUCAGGGUCUUUCUAGUGAGGAUGUAGGGUUUGAUAAAGCUAUUUUCAAUUUCUAUUUGAAUCAUGUGAGCUUUUCUGAUCUAGUUUCAAUUUUCUGACGACUUACCUUUUUUAUUCACAGGAAUUGCAGUGUAAUUUAGCCCAGAAUUAGAGUGUAGUAUGCCCCUAGUAUUACAGUGUAAUUUAUCCCAGAAUUUCAUUGCAAUCCCAGUGCUUUCUUUUUGUAAUUGCAGUGUAAAAUACCCUAGAAUUGCAGUGUAAUUUAGCCCAGAUUUUAGUGUAAUCCCAAUGCUUCAUUUUUUGUAAUUACAGUGUAAUUUUUCCCAGAAUUACAAUGUAAAGUCCAUGCUUCAUUUAUGUAAUUACAGUGUAAUUUUUCCUAGAAUUACAGUGUAAAUUUGAUGCUUCAUUUAUGUAAUUACAGUGUAAUUUUUCCUAGAAAUUCGGUGUAAUUUAUAAAAAUCCAAACAAAGUAGUGUAAUUUUCAUUCUGAACCUUUGUAUUUCUUGACAUUUGAGCUUCAUCCUUGUUCAGCUUUGCUUGAAUUACAGUGGAUUUCAACUCUUUUUUGUGUGAUUAUGCUGUGUAGUUCCUUGUUUAUUAACUUAUUAUCAUUGUAAUCCACUAGUGUGAUUAUUCAUUCCCUUCACUGUCCAUGUGUACCGACAUUGUAACAAGCUCUGCUUUUCAUUGUUAAUAUUAAUGCCUUCAUCUGAUAGGACUUGUGUUCUUUAUGCUGAUAGGUCUGUCUCUGUAUUCAUGACUUCAUCUGAACUUGCAUGUAUCUCUGUGCUUAUUCUGUUUAGCUUUUGCUUGAAUUUACAGUGGAUUUUAACUCUUUGAAUUACAGUGUAAUACCUCUUAAUUGCUCUGUAAUUUCCACUAUAUUUGUAGUGUUAUAUGCCCCAGAUUUAUAUUGUAAUAUCCCCCAGAAUUACAUUGUAAAUUAUCUCUGAAUUGUAUUCAAUAAUGCUAGAAUACAGUGUAAUAUUUCCCUAGUUUGCAUUGUAUGUCAUGUAGGUAUUAACACUGGAAUUCAUCUCAUUUUUUCCAUGAAUGUCAUGAGUUGUCUAACUCUAUAACUUCCCCAGAGUUCAUGUUAGCUACAUUGCCCUGUAUCGUAACAAAGAUUUUUUUUCAUGUGUACUGCAGCAAAGCUUUUUUCAUGUAAUUUCCUCAUGGUUCAUGUUACCUACAUUGCCCUGUACUGCAUCAAAGAUUUUUUUUCAUGUGUACCUACACUGGAAUUCGUGUUGGUGUAGUGUUUUGACAGUCAAAUAUUAACAGUUUUACCUUCAGACAGUUAGAAUUUCUUCCCCUGAUGAUUCCAAAAUUUUCACUAGAAUGUAUGAUGUUUUUUUAUGCAGACUAGUUCAUGUAGCAGGUGAAUGUAGAGAAGCAGGGUGAGGAAAAACAUGGAAGAGUUCAAUGGAAGUGUGAUCAAGAGGAGUAGUACAUUUCCUGAGCUGCGGACCGUGUCUUGGAUGAUCUUCCUCUGUCCUACACCAAUUAUUCGGUUCCACUUGCUUCCCUCGAGGUACUUGCCCCUCUGUUGUGCCUCUCUGAUCUGUUUUUGUUCUUCUCUCUCUCUCUCAUGACAUCUCCGUGAUGUUUUUCUGCUCUUUCUUCUCCUCAUUUCCCCUCUCCCAUGGCGCCUCCUAGAUGAGUAGUGUGAUGCAAGUUAAAGGAGGUUCCCGGGAGAUGCCAGUACUCUGAUGAUUUUUGUUCUUUUUCUUUGUCAGAAAUAGACAAUAUGAAAUUCCCCCUGUUACCGCUGUUCAGCAGCAACAAGAGAAAACAACAGUUCUGCAGCAUUUUUGUUCUAUUUCUUUUCUGGCGUUGAAGUCCAUUCAGGGUGUACAUUACAUUCAAGCGGGUCAGAGUUUACCAGACCCAUUUUCGCAGAAAUAGACAGUAGACGGUGGAGGGUUUUGGGGACAUACAUGUGUCAACUUUUUAUUGGUUUGUAUUUUUGAUUGUUGUCGAAUUGAAAAACAGUCGAAUGUCAAAUAGACAGUCCCUUCUUAAAUGUCUGCAGGGAAGAAGAGAACUGCUAAGUGAAUGUAAGCAAUGCUUAGUAGUUUAGAAGAAAUAGAAAAGGAUCACUAUAUUUGUCUACUGAUGUUGCUUCACACAAGUUUCAUAUGCAUUGGUCAAUAGUAGUUCUUCCAUAGUGCGCAGAGAACUGAAAUACUAUCAGACCAAUGUUUCAUAUGCAUUGCUGUUGUUUCUUUUUCAGUUCUCCUAGGUUUCUUAAUGUUGUUUCGUAUGAAACAAUGGUCUGCAUUGUUUAUGAUUGAUGACAAACUGUUUCUUAUGAAACAUUUGUAGUGAUGUUGUUUCAUAUAUGCUUUUUAUGGAAGUGCAUACUUAAUCAGUUCUUCUCAACUAUGAAUGUAUGUCAUUGAAAUCUGAAUCCAUAUGCCAACUUUCAGAUUAUUUCUUGCUUGAACUGAAAGGUGUAGCUGCUAGCUUUUUUGUGUGCUUCAGAACUUUAUUUCAUUACUACUGUAAUCAAGACUAGUUUUGACACUUUUUGAUAUCCUUUGUUUCUGGUUGGCAUAGUGUGUAUUGUUCAGCUGGGAUGUUAAAAUUGUACUGUCGUAAAACUGUAUGGAUAGCAUUUAAGUCAUCUUGUUAAAUAUUGUUUAACAGUCGCACAUUACAUCUAGAGUUCAUACUUCUGAUCCUUUUGGGUCUGUUUAUGGAGGUCUUGCUAUAACAAAAUCAAGAAAUUGUGUUAGUUUACCUGACAAGUAGAAUCAAACUUGUAGCCUUGUCCUAAUUCAGACAAAUCUUGAGGGCGGGAGUUAGGGCUAAGAUAUCAUAAAUCUCUAUGAUUAUUGGCCAGCUUAGAGGUAGAGGUCAGAAUAGGAGAACAUGGUCUGCUGUUGCCUUGCUGGCUAUAUGGAGAGGGCACUCAACUGAAUUGUUAUUUUGAGAAAAGGGCACUCAACUGAAUGUUGGAGACUAGUGAAAUCCUACUCAUAACUAUAUGGAUAUAUUUACAAAACUCUUACCAUCAUAGAGUAUUUAGCUGAUUGAAAGCGGACAAGAGUAUCACUUUUUAGUUGAACAAGAUUAUCAUUUUACAAGGUUAUAGUCAUCUGCUGUUUUUUUUCUUUUGGUGAGGGCCAGACUCAUAUGCAGAAUAUGUUGAUCUACCAAGUUUAGAUUUGUUCUAGUAUAUUCACCACCGUACUCUUUUACCACUCUAUGCCCUCUGCCUAACAACCAACAUGUUGAAUUCUUGAUGUCAGUUGAUAGAAGUUUGUGGGACGAAAACAUUGUGCGAGCUUUACUUCACAAUAAUAUUGUUGAAAAGAUCAUGGAAAUUCCCCUGAGCUCAGAGGGUGACCCUGAUUUUGCAUCUUGGCCCCACUGUAAAUCAGGCAUUUACACGGUCAGAUCCGCAUAUAAUCUUGCCCGUACAACAAAGUUUGGAAGGAUUGCAGCAAGUCAGGGCGUGGAUCGACAACUAACCAAAUUGCAUUGGAGAAGGGUUGGAAAAGCUUAUGGGGCAUCCAAUGUCCUAGCAAGAUGAAGGUGAUCUUAUGGCGAAUGGCGCAUGACUGCCUUCCUUCUGGUGCUCAGCUACAACGUCGCUCCAUUCCGACCAACUAUGAUUGUCCCUUCUGUGGCAGAGACGAGCUGAUCGAACACUCCAUCCCUUUCUGUCAAUUCGCUCGCGAGGUUUGGGCUGAAGUGAAUAGGAUUUACAAUCUGCACCUUGGGCUAUGCAGCUUCUCCUCAAUCCGGCAAUGGACUGUUGACUGGAUCACAUCGGCCGGAGCUGAGGAGGCCACUGUUUUUGCAGUGACAAUUUGGCACAUCUGGGAAGCCCGAAUGGGUUCACAAUGGGGGAAGAACUACCACACCCCCGCCGGAUCAUUGAGAAGAUAAGGGCCUACACUGACAUGAUUAUAUUGCAUACUUUCAGGCUGAAGAACUCCAACAGGUGUGAGUCCAACGAUGCUAAUACAACAUGGACUCCACCACCAGAGGGCUCAGCAAUGCUCAUUGUUGACGCAACAAUCUUCAGUCAAUCCAGGCGCAUGGGUGCUGGAUACAUCCUGCGUGACCAUGGAGCUAUUCUAGAGCACACAACGCAGUAUUGUCAUCGUGUCUGACUGUGCAAGCCUCAUCAGGAAGAUCAAUGAGCGCCGCUUUGAUCGAUCUUUAGCUGGAGCCGUGAUCUAUGACAUCAAGCAGCUGGCGAUGAAGUUUACUUCUCUCUGAUUUUCCCAUCAGCAUAGAUUCUGUAACAAGGCGGCCCAUAUUGGGCGGAGCAUUAUGUUGAUGCCGUGUGGGUAAAUGUUUUUCCGGAGGUGAUCCGGACUGUCAUUUGUAAUGAACUUGUUUUUGUUGAUUAUUAAUGUAAAGCCGUCCAUUUAUCUUUAAAAAAAGCUUGGUAUACUGAUUUAACUGACAA